UGCGGGUACAUUGAGAUCAAAAGAAGGUUGCUUCGAAGAACUAGCACCACUUCGAUCGUCUCCGGCGGGAGCCAAAAGAAGGUUGCUUCGAAGAACUAGCACCACUUCGAUCGUCUCCGGCGGAAGCCUAUCCCACCUAAAUUAAAUCCAUGGCAGAAAAAAGAAAAUCGAGCAAGUCGGUAAGAAAUGGAGCAAAGAAAGCGGCUUCAAAAGAAACCUAUUAGAUAGAGUAAAAAAGGAUACGAGUAACCAAAAGUACGGUGAUACUGAUAAUCACUCGUUUCAAAAGAGAGAAAAAAUGCUGAAAAAGGUUCGAUUCAUCUUGUGUGAUGGAAAUUCGUAUUCUUCG
rnacentral:lncRNA from 1 species